rnacentral:rRNA from 1 species
CGGCGAGUGAAGCGGCAACAGCUCAAAUUUGAAAUCUGGCCCUUGGGUCCGAAUUGUAAUUUGUAGAGGAUGAUUUUGGUGCGGUAUCUUCCGAGUUCCUUGGAACAGGACGCCUUAGAGGGUGAGAGCCCCGUACGGUUGAAUGCCUAGCCUCUGUAAAUCUCCUUCGACGAGUCGAGUAGUUUGGGAAUGCUGCUCUAAAUGGGAGGUAAAUUUCUUCUAAAGCUAAAUAUUGGCCAGAGACCGAUAGCGCACAAGUAGAGUGAUCGAAAGAUGAAAAGCACUUUGAAAAGAGGGUUAAAUAGCACGUGAAAUUGUUGAAAGGGAAGGAUUUGUGACCAGACUUUUUCUGGGCGGAUCAUCCGGGGUUCUCUCCGGUGCACUUCGCCCAGUAAAGGCCAGCAUCGGUUUUCGGCGUGGGAUAAAAGCAGUAGGAAUGUGGCUCUCUACGGGGAGUGUUAUAGCCUAUUGUAUAAUACCGCGCUGGGGACCGAGGUUCGCGCUUCUGCAAGGAUGCUGGCGUAAUGGUUAUCAAUCACCCGUCUUGAAACACGGACCAAGGAGUCGAACAUUUGUGCGAGUGUUUGGGUGUUAAACCCUCACGCGUAAUGAAAGUGAACGGAGGUGAGAGCCCUUACGGGUGCAUCAUCGACCGAUCCUGAAGUUUUCGGAUGGAUUUGAGUAAGAGCAUAACUGUUCGGACCCGAAAGAUGGUGAACUAUGCGUGGAUAGGGUGAAGCCAGAGGAAACUCUGGUGGAGGCUCGCAGCGGUUCUGACGUGCAAAUCGAUCGUCAAAU